UACGGAGGGUGCAAGCGUUGCUCGGAAUUAUUGGGCGUAAAGGGCAAGUAGGUGGUCUCAUUUGUCUGGGGUGAAAGCCUUGAGCUUAACUCAAGAAGUGCCCCAGAAACGGUGAGACUGGAGUCCUGGAGAGGGUCGUGGAAUUCCCGGUGUAGCGGUGAAAUGCGUAGAGAUCAGGAGGAACACCAGAGGCGAAAGCGGCGACCUGGACAGGUACUGACACUCAACUGCGAAAGCGUGGGGAGCGAACAGG
rnacentral:rRNA from 1 species